UCAGUGUUCUUACUUAUACUGUAAAUUUAAAGCCUAAGCCUUCCUAAGACCGCCACGUUUCUACUUCCUGCCUCCUACCUAAUAAGGCAUCCCCUAUGCUGCAUGAUGCUCCCAAGUGUGUGUGUGUGUGUGUGUGUGUGUGUGUGUGUGUGUGUAUGUGGAUGUGAGGACCCAAGGCACACAAAACAAACUCUCCCAGCCAUGAGCUCCCAUAAAUCUCAUUCCAGAAGAAGAAUAAAGAUAAGUUCAUUCCAACAGCAGGCCAGGGAAAAUGGGCAAGCUAAACAUGGUAACAACUUCGAACUAAGAACAAAGAAUGCUCUAUUCAAACAGUCACGUUGCUGUCUCGGCAUAAAGGUCUCCUGCAGCGUGCCAGACUCCUGCAGUAAAACAACCUGGGUGUCUUAAAUUCCAAAUGCAAGACCGCAGGCACGCUGACAGAAUCAUGGGAGUGAACUAUGAUUACCUGGCGUGCUGUGCACUGCAUGCUGACAAGCAUCGGAAAGGUUCUCCGUUCUUCUGGGUGAUAACGAUGCCGGGAAGAGGAAGCCAGGGAUCUGUCAGCGAGCUUCCUGAUUGGGGUCCCUGCUCAAAGCAGGAAUGGAGUUAGCACCCCAUCCCUAGUCCCCUAGGCUGGGUUGGUUAGUGCUGAUUACCAGCUUGUGCUCUCGGUCCUCUCCAGAGCAACCCGUGCCCAUCUGAGCACUCUCGGCCCUCCUCACUAAGAGUGAAAAAAGGCACGGUUAAAAAUUGAAAAAAAAAAAAAAAAACUACUAGAAACCAUCAUAACAUUAAAAACUAUUCCAGUUACAUUAGCUACUUAUCUGGUUUCUGCUACAAGUAUCUGACUCCUGUAAUUUAGGAAGGCAGGCAGGCUUUAUUUUGGUUUGCGGUCCGAGAGUGCAAUCUUUCUGUAACCGUGGGGAUUAGAGGGAGUGGGUCACACAGCAGCCUCCGUGAGGAAGGCGGCAUCUACUGUGCUCAACUCCGCUUCUGCUUUUACUUGGUCGAGGAUCUAAGGGAUGGAAAGGCACUGUCCCCGUAGGUGGAUCUUCCCACCCCACGUGGCCUAAUAUAGACAAUCUCUUGAAGGCUUCCUCAGACGUCUGUCUCCUACAGCAUUCUAGAUCUCAUAAAGUAGACAGUCAAGAUUAAGCAGUGCUGCUCCAGUCUACUGUGUGGGUUGGGGGGUUGAGCUCAGGAGAACAGGUGUGGUGGCAAGCCCUGGACCCACUCAUCCAUCUUGCUAGCCCUCUGCCUGCCUAAAUACUAUAGAGAGUUUUUUCUUCUUUAAAUUAAAGUAAUAUUUAAACUUUAGCAAUAAUAUGAUCUGGCGCGCGCGCACACACACACACACACACACACACAUUUUUAUUUUUUUGGAGGAAAAUAACCAAGCAGUAAAUAUUUUGGGUUGUGGGCUACAUAGAGUCUUAUUGCAACUAUUCAUCUUUGGUGGUACAGUAUAAACGCAGCCAUAAUCAAUAUGUAAACACACAGAUACUGAAAUUUUACUUCAUAUAAAUUUUAAAGCACAAAAUAAUACUUUCAAUGGUAUUUUUGAGCCAGAUUUGACUUAUGGGCUAAUCCCAAAUUUAGUAAGUACAAAAUAAUGUCUCUCUCUUUUUUUUUCUCCCUUUCACUCUUUUAAUGGCACCUACCGCUCGUGUCUCUAGCUGCAUAUGU